rnacentral:rRNA from 1 species
AGAAAGGCUUAUGGUGGAUAACUAGGUACCCAGAGACGAGGAAGGGCAUAGUAAGCGACGAAAUGCUUCGUGGAGUAGAAAAUAAGCAUAGAUAUGAGGAUUCCUAAUAUAGGUCAACCUUUCGAACUGCAACUGAAUCUAUGGGCAGGCAAGAGACAACAUGGUGAACUAAAACAUCUUGGUAGCUAGAGGAAAAGAAAGCAAAAGCGAUUCCCAUAGUAGCGGCGAGCAAAAUGGGAGCAACCUAAAUCGUGAAAACGGGGUUGUGAGAGAGCUAUACAAGUGUCGUGCUGCUAGGCGAAGCAGCAGAGAAUGCUGCACCCUAAAUGGCGAGAGUCCAGUAGCCGAAAGCAUCACUAGCUUACACUCUGACCCGAGUAGCAUGGGCAUGUGGAAUCUCGUGUGAAUCAGCAAUGACCACCUUGGAAGGCAAAAUACUCCUGGGUUACUGAUAGUGAAGUAGUACCCGUGAGGGAAGGGUGAAAAGAACCCUCAUCGGGGAUUGAAAUAGAACAUGAAACUGUAAGCUCCCAUGCAGUGGGAGGAGGCUCGAGACUCUGAUCGCAUGCCUGUUGAAGAAUGAGUCGGUGACUCAUAGGCAGUGGCUUGGUUAAGGGAAACCACCGGAGCCGUAGCGAAAGCGAGUCUUCAUAGGGCAAUUGUCACUGCUUAUGGACCCAAACCUGGGUGAUCUGUCCAUGACCAAGAUGAAGCUUGGGUGAAACUAAGAGGAGGUCCGAACUGACUAAUGUUGAAGAAUCAGUGGAUAAGUUGUGGUUAGGGGUGAAAUGCCACUCGAACCCAGAGCUAGCUGGUUCUCCCUAAAAUCCGUUGAGGUGCAGUAGUUUACUAGACAUCUAGGGGUAAAACACUGUUUCGGUGCGGGCCAUGAGAGCGGUACCAAAUCGAGGCAAACUCUAAUACUAGAUAUGACCUCAAAAUAACAAGGGUCAAGGUCGGCCAGUGAGACGAUGGGGGAUAAGCUUCAUCGUCAAGAGGGAAACAGCCCAGAUCACCAGCUAAGGCCCCUAAAUGACCGCUCAGUGAUAAAGGAGGUAGGGGUGCAGAGACAACCAGGAGGUUUUCCUAGAAGCAGCCACCCUUGAAAGAAUGCAUAAUAGCUCACUGAUCGAGCGCUCUUGUGCCGAAGAUGAACGGGGCUAAGCGAUCUGCCAAAGCUGUGGGGUGUAAAAAUGAAUCGGUAGGGGAGUGUACCAUCUUAGAGGGAAGGACCCAUGCGAGUAGUGCUGGACGAAGCAGAAGCGGGAAUGUUGGCUUGACUAACGCAAACGUUGGUAAGAAUCCAAUGCCUCGAAAACCCAAGGGUUCCUUCGUAAGGUUCAUCCACGGAGGGUGAGUCAAGGCCUAAGAUCCGGCCGAAGGGCGUAGUCGAUGGACAAAAGGUGAAUAUUCUUGUACUACCCUUUAUUGGACUCGAGGGAUGGAGGAGGCUAGGUUAGCCAAAAUAUGGUUAUCGGUUCAAGGACGCAAGGUGCCCCUGCUUUUUCAGAGUAAUAAGGGUAGAUAAAAUGCGUUGAGCCAAAGUUCGAGUACCAAGCGCUACAGCGCUGAAGUAAUCCAUGCCAUACUUCUAGGUAAAGCUUAAAUGACCUUCAAUAAAUGGGUACUUGUACCCGAAACCAACACAGGUGGGUAGGUAAAGAAUACCUAGGGGCACGAGACAACUCUCUCUAAGGAACUCAGCAAAAUAGCCCCGUAACUUCGAGAGAAGAGGUGCCUCCUCACAAAGGAGGUCGUUGUGACUAGGCUCGGGUGAUUGUUUACCAAAAACACAUGUCUCCGCAAAGUCGUAAGACCAUGUAUGGGGGCUGACACCUGCCAAGUGCCGGAAGGUCAAGGAAGUUAGUGACCAGAUGACAGGGGAUCCGAUGACCGAAGCCUCGGUGAACGGCGACCGUAACUAUAACGUCUUAAGGUAGCGCAAUUCCUUGUCAGGUAAGUUCCAACCCGCAUGAAAGGCAUAAUGAUUUGGGCACUGCCUCGGAGAGAGACUCGGUGAAAUAGACAUGUUUGUGAAGAUGCGGACUACCUGCACUUGGACAGAAAGACCAUAUGAAGCUUCACUAUUUCCUGGGAUUGGCUUUGGGCUUUUCCUGCGUAGCUUAGGUGGAGGGCAAAGAAGGCUUCUUUCUUAGGGGGGGGGGGGGGGGGGCGAACCCUUAGUGAGAUACCACUCUAGAAGAGCUAGAAUUCUAACCUUGUUCCAGGACCUACGAGCCGAGGGAUAGUCUCAGGUAGAUAGUUUCUAUGGGGCGUAAGCCUCCCUAAAGGUAACGGAGGCGUGCAAAGGUUUCCUCAGGCCAGACGGAGUUUGGCCCUCGAGUGCAAAGGCAGAAGGGAGCUUGAUUGCAAGACCCACCCGUCGAUUAUGGACAAAAGUCGGUCUUAAUGAUCUGACGAUGCCGAGUGGAAGGGCCAUCGCUCAAUGGAUAAAAGUUACUCUAGGGAUAACAGACUGAUCUUCCCUAAGAUCUCACAUGGAUGGGAAGGUUUGGCACCUCGAUGUCGGCUCUUCGCCACCUGAGGCUGUAGUAUGUUCCAAGGGUUUGGUUGUUCGCCCAUUAAAGCGGUACGUGAGCUGGGUUUAGAACGUCAUAAGAUAGUUCGGUCCAUAUCCAAUGUGGGCUUUAGAGCAUUGAGAGGACCUUUCCCUAGUAUGAGAGGGUCGGGAAGGACGCACCUCUAGUGUGCCAGUUAUUGUACCCACGAUAAACGCUGGGUAGCCAAGUACGAAAUGGAUAACUGCUGAAAGCAUCUAAGUAGUAAACCCACCCCAAGAUGAGUGUUCUUCUAUCCCGACUUCCCCAGAGCCUCCGAUAGCACAGCCGAGACAACAAUGGAUUCUCUGCCCCGGCAGGGAUGGAGCGAAAGAAGUUUUGAGAAUUCAAGAGAAGGUCAAGGCGAGACGAAAAUAUGAUGUAUGUUUUGUUUUUCCAUUGUUACAUUUUGACCUGCUUAAUAAUUAUCGACUGUUACAUAAAUU